GAUUCCGUUGCAUGUAACACAAUUUUUGAUAAUAAAUUAAAUUUUAGAAUACUGAUAUGUAGUUUUAUGAAAAAUAGAAGAUUUUUGGUAGACAGCAACAAUAUAAUGAUGAACACAAUUUUAAUAUCGCUCAAAUAUUAACAAAUAUGUCUUGACAGAUAUGACAAAGAGUGACAGAACACAAAAUUACAUUUAAAUAUGCGCAGAAGAAUGCACAAUAGGUCAAAACAUUAAUAACAUCAAGAAGUUGAAACUUGACCUACUUCUAAUGUAAUUUAAAAUCAAUUCAUGAGAUGUGCGAAAGAAAUAUUUCACUUUGUUAGUAAAAUAUUAAUGGUGAUGUUGGAAAUCGAUUCCGGUAGCGAAUUGACCGAAAAGUACUUAUAUGAUGAACUUCACCCGACGAACAGUUUGCAUCGACCCAAGUUCGAAAAACCAAAAGGACCUCCCAACAGGGGACCAAGGCGUAUCACAAAACAUCAGUGAAAUACAAACAAGUAUUAUGCUAACGCUUCAGUUUGGUUUUUUCAGAAACGUUUUGCUCAAUGAUUUCGAUGGUGCAAAUCAAUAACAGACCCCACAAUGCUGAAGACAAUAUUUAUAGUUGUAUGAAAUGUUGGAAAAGGCCAAAUUCAGUUGAAUAAAAUUCCUGUCUUUUGUCAAUUU